UGAUGUGAGGCCAAUCUGGCUGUGACAUCUGUCACCCCAUUGAUUGCCAGGGUUGAUUCAGCCAAUCUGGUUGGCUAGACAGGUGGCCCCUUCCUCCCUCACUGCUCCAUGUGCUUCCUUGCCAAAGCUGCAUACUCAGUCGAAGAGGACGACCUUCCCUCAUAGUAGUGUACUCAUUCACUGGUCAAGGGUAUACAGUAGCUGUGCUUCCCUGCUAGAACCUCCAAACCAGCACAAGGUCCAUCUGUAGGAGAAGGUAGGGUAGGCAAGCUUCCAAGACUGCAGACACAUCCAAGUGAGGUGCUGCGUAGGGCAGUCUACCCUUCUU
rnacentral:snRNA from 1 species